UUUCCGUAGGCGAACCUGCGGAAGGAUCAUUAUUGUAUAACCGAGGUGCGAGGGCUGUCGCUGACCCGAAAGGUCGUGCACGCCCGAGUGCCCUCACACACAUCCAUCUCACCCCUAUGUGCACCACCGCGUGGGUCCCCCUUUGGCUUGUUCGGAGGGGGGCUUACGUUUUCACACAGUCUUUGUAUGCAGUGUAGAAUGUAUUUUUUGUUUUUGCGAUCACGCAAUCAAUACAACUUUCAACAACGGAUCUCUUGGCUCUC
rnacentral:misc_RNA from 1 species